UGUGUAAUUCAAAGAACCUAGCAGAGCUUUAUUCAGCAGUAGUGGAGGCAGCAUCAAUUAAAGACAUUUUAAAGCCAUCUUCCUUCCCCAGGUAAUCCACGCAAGGAUUGUGCUCCCAUGUGCAGUAAUCACCCUGCACAAUUUGGCAGCAGUGUUAUCGGCACUGACCGGUGUCUGGAGUGAAACAAGUAAGACUUUAGGAGGUGACUUCCAUUUUGUGACUGCAGCACUUCAGCAUGUGGCUGCCUUCAUUUACUGGAGUAUGCUGGCCAAGACUGCCUUGUUUGUGGAUUACCCAGCCAAAGGCACAGCCCUGACAUCAGAAAAGUCCCUCUGGUGAAGCUCAAGGGGCUGUUUUGUUGGGAAGUCGGCUGUUUUAAAACAACGAGCAAGAAUUCGCUAUGA